rnacentral:ncRNA from 1 species
GAGCGCCGUGUGAGGUGAAAGUCUCACGCACGGUGUGGAGCGGGGGAAAUCUGAAAAGAGAAUGGAAUCCUAGAGGAUUUUACACUUAGUAAGCUACCUAUCGCUAU